UGGGGAAUAUUGGACAAUGGGGGCAACCCUGAUCCAGCAAUGCCGCGUGUGUGAAGAAGGUCUUCGGAUUGUAAAGCACUUUCGACGGGGACGAUGAUGACGGUACCCGUAGAAGAAGCCCGGCUAACUUCGUGCCAGCAGCCGCGGUAAUACGAAGGGGGCUAGCGUUGCUCGGAAUGACUGGGCGUAAAGGGCGUGUAGGCGGUUUACACAGUCAGAUGUGAAAUCCCCGGGCUUAACCUGGGAGCUGCAUUUGAUACGUGUAGACUAGAGUGUGAGAGAGGGUUGUGGAAUUCCCAGUGUUGAGGUGAAAUUCGUAGAUAUUGGGAAGAACACCGGUGGCGAAG
rnacentral:rRNA from 1 species